CUUAUGUAAAAUAUUCCAGAUAAAUCAUCUUACUAACUGAAUUCAUCUGAUUUAUUUCUGCCACCAGUUGUGUGAGCAAGGCUUAGCUAUGGAACUUUGACCACCUGUACUGAGUCUCUGUAUUGGAGAUUCAAGCAGAGACUAACAAGAUAAGAAAAAACAAGAACACCAACAUAACCUAAAUAAAUCAUCUUACCAACUGGAUUCAUCGGAUUUAUUUCUGCCACCUGUUGCAGGUGCGAGUUCAACCAUUAAUCAUGACAUCAAAACGAAAAAAAAGCCUCCGUUUUGUCACCUGGAACACAAAUGGUAUAAAAUACCCAUCUGAAAAAUUUCAUGAUAUAAUAAAAAUUCUUACAUGCCUUAAUGCUGAUGUUGCCUUUAUACAAGAUGUUGCCUUUAUACAAGAGACACUGAUGUUGCCUUUAUACAAGAGACACAUGUUGGGACACAAUGUGUCAAAAUCCUACAAAAUGUUCCAGGCUGGAGAUCCUACUUCACUGUGCACAGCUCCCGCAGCAAAGGUGUCGCUAUACUGAUCAAAGAAGGCAUAACAUUUAAGUAUAUAUGUCAUGAUGAGGAUUGUUGUGGAGGUUACAUUGUGCUGUUCUGUCAUCUGUAUGGUGAACUGUACACUCUUGUCAAUGUGUACAAUCAUAACGCAGACAGAAUUGUCUUGGGUAGACUGAAAGAGUAUUUGAGGGAAACAGCUGAGGGUUUGCUGGUGGUUGGAGGUGAUUUCAACACAGUUUUAGAUCCCA